UACUUAGAUGUUGUCUAUACUAAUUUUAGAACAUUAAUUUCAACACAAAAAAUGUAAAUUUUUUGUUUCACCUUUUAUUACUGUUAAUUGAUGAGUAAAAUAAUAACUAUAAAACCAGUAGUUUAUUAAAUAUAUACUCUGAAAAUGUAAAACAAAAUAUACUUCCUUGUUGGCUGAUUUUCAUUAUAAUGAAAACUAGAGAUGGACCCGCGCGCCCGCGCGGGUGUUGGCUUUUGCAAGAAUGAUUUUUGUUUUCCAUGUAAAUAUUAUAUACUUUAGAUGUGUCACGAUGUUAGAGAAUUGUAUCGCGGUAUUAGUAUUCUUUUUAAUAACGUUUUUUUGUUUUCCAUUGUAAAUGUACAAUUUUUUGUUUACAAAAAGCUACAUAGCACAUAUAUAAUAUUAAAAUGUUAAUAAUUCUUUAAUAAUAUAGAUAUGCUAUCAAUUUUAUUGAAUUUAUGUAAACAAAGUCUUUAUAUUUCAAAUUAAAUUUAUGUUUUUAUAGAAAGAAAGAAGAUUCAUAUUUUUUAACCAUUCAAUAAUUUAUUUCUUUAGAUAAUUUUUAUAAACAAAAUAUUAAUCAAAAUUUCAAUGAAAAUGUAAUUUAGAUUAUGAUUUGGGCAUGAUGUUGCAAAAAAACAAAAUAAAGAUUAUGAUUUGGGCUGUCAUGUUUUAAAAGUGGGUUGGGCCCAAAAAAAAACGUUUUAUCAAAACAAACUCAUUAGGUAUCUGUUAUUUUUUUUUCCGGGAACAAACGAACAGUUUUCUUUGUCACCGACAAAAAUUGAUAAAAAAAUAUUUUUCGAUCAAAACAAACAUAAGAUCCAGACGACAUGUUCUUCUGAUUCCAAAUCAAACCUAAGAAUAUGAGUGCAGAUCGUAAGAGAAAAACGGUAACCACCCCUAAUCACUAUUAAAGCUUUUCCUUUUGCGAAUCUUAAGGUUUUGUUUUAUUUCUAUAAAGCUUCUGUUUUAGAGGUUCUUUAGGUUUUGAUAAAUUUUGCUCUAGACAUUGAUUGUUGGCGAUCUACAUCAUGUAGAACGGGAGCAGGCGUCAAGCUAAGAAACAUUUCAUAGAAGAGUAGUUUAUAAAAAUUCAUGUCUUAACACACGGGCUUCAUAGGAGAAUACGAACAGAGAAGAUGGAAGAGGAUUUGAGAUUAUCAGAGUGUACAUGGUAAGUAUUUUUUGUUAAUUAUUCAAUUAAUUAGAGAAUUUGGUAACUGUAUAUUAAUUUGGUGAUGAUGUUUCUUGUCAAAUUUCAUUUCAAUGUUUGCAAAUUGACCCCUUGGCGGGCCUUGAAGAAUCUGCCAUUGUUCAUUCAUGAGCAAUAUAAAGGUGUUUCUCAUUUUUGUUAAUUAUUUAUUUGGUUUGUAAGUGUGUAUAUUUAUUGGAAUUGGCAUAACAGCUUAUGUAUAAUUCCCUCAAACAUAGAAGAAGUUUAUUGGACCUAUAAUGGAGUUGAUAGAUCGGGAAGUUCUAUCAAAGGAGUCUGGUGAGGUUGCUUCUACAGAGAACCUUUUCUUUGGCAAGGCAGUGGAGAAGGAAGAAAGUGAUUUUCGUGAUCAGAGCCCAAAUGUUGGUGAAAGAACGAUCAGAAGCUAUGAAGAAAGAAGUUUCUCUCCCACGUUCAGCAAGUGAAUCCAGACAACAACUCACGGAUCACUUGGAAUGGAAGUUGCAAGUCCGAGAGAAGGGAUGUUGUUACAUAGACAGCAUUGUUUUACUAACGGCAUAAACAGAUCAUGGUAACUAAUUACGAAGGCAGCGGACGGAAAUUAUGAGGCAAGGUAAUCUGAAGCAAAAAGAUAUGUUACUUGGAGAAAAAUAUAACGUGGAAAGAAAGGUAGUUAGAGUGGAACUGGUGACAAUGGAAUUCGCUGUGAUGGACAUCUUGUAUAGAUGCCUAGUUGGUCUGUAUAUCCCGGUUGCUGGGUAAACCAAGAAAUUCUCGAGGAACUUCCAUUGAUCAACCUGUAAGUUCUUAACACGGCCAAGGAAGGCACUCUUACAGGUACAAUGUAUCUCAGAUCCCUACAAUAACAAUUAGAACUACAUUGGUUAGUCGUUGGCAACACAAAAUUCUAGAAAACAAAUAGAUUCAAACAAAAAACAUACCAUCCUAUCUUCAAGUAUGAACUCGAAAGUGUCUUCUCCAGAAUAGUUUGAAUGUUGUGUCCACGAAUGAAGAACUUUCACUUCAACCUUCCAAGUAGUUUUAUAUGGUUUGAGAUUGUUCAACAUAGUGAUUUCGCUGUUUGUAACCAUAGCCAUAGUAAGUUAAAAAGAAAAGGUCGCCGACUGCUAAUAAGAACCUAACAGAACUUUUAUAA